AUCAGAGAUGGUGUGUGUUAGAGAGAGAACACUCCUCCUCUAGUUGAUAUAUCAGAGAUGGUGUGUGUUAGAGAGAGAACACUCCUCCUCUAGUUGAUGUAUCAGAGAUGGUGUGUGUUAGAGAGAGAACACUCCUCCUCUAGUUGAUAUAUCAGAGAUGGUGUGUGUUAGAGAGAGAACACUCCUCCUCUAGCUGAUAUAUCAGAGAUGGUGUGUGUUAGAGAGAGAACACUCCUCCUCUAGCUGAUAUAUCAGAGAUGGUGUGUGUUAGAGAGAGAACACUCCUCCUCUAGCUGAUAUAUCAGAGAUGGUGUGUGUACUAACACUCCUCCUCUAGCUGCCCUAGCUGAUAUAUCAGAGAUGGUGCUGCAGCUUCAGGGAACCAUGAUGAAGAUGGAGAACAUCCAGAAGCUUCUAGAACUGAAGAAAGAUCUGACAGGCAUCCAGGACCUGGCUAUAUCUGGCAGGGAGUUUAUCAGACUGGGCUGUCUCAGUAAGCUCUCAGGGAAAGGACUACAGCAAAGAAUGUUCUUCCUGAGUCUCCAGAAGAGGGCGGCGUGGAGGCUGAGUCAGAGGAGGAGCUGAGUGCGUCUCGUAGCUCAUUGGAGCGUCAGUCAGCACAGAGAGGAAACACGAUGGUUCAUGUCUGCUGGCACCGCAACACCUCUGUGUCCAUGGUGGACUUUAGUGUGGCUGUGGAGAACCAGUUAUCAGGUAACCUGCUGAGGAAGUUUAAGAACAGUAAUGGAUGGCAGAAACUCUGGGUGGUCUUCACCAACUUCAGUCUGUUCUUCUACAAGUCACAUCAGGAUGACUACCCUCUGGCCAG